UCCCGCGUCGACGUCACAGGCGGUAGUGGGGGAGGGGAGCGGGAGGUCUCCUAUCCUCCCCCAAGCCGGGCCCCGACGCCCCUCACUCGGGCGUGCAGUCCGCGAUAGGCCAGACCCUGUACGGUGCAAGCGGCUCGCAGACUGCGCACGCCCGGGGCUGCUACUAGAGCCGGUGCCCGCUGCUCCCGCUGCCUGUCCCCCGCCCUCCCGCCGGCGCAGCGACGUGCGUCCCGCUGGUCCCCCCACCCCCCACGUCUCUCCCCGACCCCUUGGCCCUGUCCCCUACCAGCUCGGCGGCGAGCUUGGCCGGCCGUCCGGGAUCCAAAAGAGCAGACACUGGGAAGUUUUGGGGGAGGGAGGGGCGGACCUUAAAGGGACCACGACCUCUUUUCACUGGGGGAAAGAGGGGGACUGAGGGAGACACCGAGUCUGGAACGGAAUGGGAAGAACGUUGAGCGGCUGUGGUGUUCGAGCUCCGCGUUCUUGCUCACCUUCCGUCCCACUUUCCACCCUAGCCAGGAAAAGUCCUCCAGUUGCUUGCGGUUUACGUGGCAGUUUUCUCCAUUUGCCGAGUGUUUGGGAGAUAGGUGUAAACGUGUUUGUUGUACAAAUAGGUCCUGGCCCCAAGUUACACUCAGCAACUAAAUGGAGACAAGAACCUGCAAGUCUGGCCAUCUUAGACAAUUGGGAGAUUUACACUGGCAACAUCAUUGUCACAGUUACUUUGGAAGUAUACCAGUAUUGUUCAAGUUGAGUUUUCUCUUCCUGACAACAGAACCAGGACCUAAUGGCGGACUAGAACUUAAUGGUGCCAACUAGCCAGUGUCAUCCCCUCUGAACAAGCCAGGUAGAGGGAUGUUCUUUGAGAUGAGGAUGAAGCCUAAUUGGUGCCAAUCUUAGAGAACAAAUCUUAACAGAAAUAUAUUCCGAGCAAGCCCAAACUGCAAUUACAUUCAGAGUGGAAAAUUUUCCCUACAGUUCCUAACAAGCCUGGGUAGUUCGCUACUUAUCUCUAAGUCAUUUAGGGGCAGCACUGAUUUAGCUAAACCCUGCCUUGUGCAGUGCAGUAUUUCCUAAGCAUGUUGAUUGGUGAAUCCUUCAAAAAACAUCAGUGCUUUACUCUGUUUCUCCCGUGGUGUUGUGACUUACUACCCCAGGAAGUAGGUCAGGGUCAUGAUUCAGGAACUGUGGAUAAAAAACCCCCACAAUUAUGCAAUAAAAGUUAAAAAAAAAAAAAAAAACCUCAUCAUAAUGCAAUAAAAGUUUAAAAAAACCCA